rnacentral:rRNA from 1 species
GCUCGGAGGUCACUCCCAACCCAUGUGAACGUUACCAAACUGUUGCCUCGGCGGGAUCUCUGCCCCGGGUGCGUCGCAGCCCCGGACCAAGGCGCCCGCCGGAGGACCAACCAAAACUCUUUUUGUAUACCCCCUCGCGGGUUUUUUAUAAUCUGAGCCUUCUCGGCGCCUCUCGUAGGCGUUUCGAAAAUGAAUCAAAACUUUCAACAACGGAUCUCUUGGUUCUGGCAUCGAUGAAGAACGCAGCGAAAUGCGAUAAGUAAUGUGAAUUGCAGAAUUCAGUGAAUCAUCGAAUCUUUGAACGCACAUUGCGCCCGCCAGUAUUCUGGCGGGCAUGCCUGUCCGAGCGUCAUUUCAACCCUCGAACCCCUCCGGGGGGUCGGCGUUGGGGAUCGGCCCUGCCUCUUGGCGGUGGCCGUCUCCGAAAUAUAGUGGCGGUCCCCCCCCAGCCUCUCCUGCGCAGUAGUUUGCACACUCGCAUCGGGAGCGCGGCGCGUCCACAGCCGUUAAACACCCAACUUCUGAAAUGUUGACCUCGGAUCAGGUAGGAAUACCCGCUGAACUUAAGCAUAUCAAUAAGCGGAGGAACAUAUCAAUAAGCGGAGGAGCUUUUAAAGUGCGGAAGGAGCUUAUUAUAAGCGGGGGAGUUUUUCGUGAGGUGGAGUGAGUACUAGGCGCCAGAGGAGGACCACCAAACUCUUUUUGUUACCCCCUCGCGGGUUUUUUAUAUCUGAGCCUUCUCGGCGCCUCUAGUAGGCGUUUCGAAAAUGAAUCAAAACUUUCAACAACGGAUCUCUUGGUUCUGGCAUCGAUGAAGAACGCAGCGAAAUGCGAUAAGUAAUGUGAAUUGCAGAAUUCAGUGA